UUUUUUAGGGAGAAUUUGGCCUUCCAACAGAGGGAGGCCCGGAAAUUUUCCU
rfam:HIV-1 isolate 01CM.0130NY from Cameroon gag protein (gag) and pol protein (pol) genes, partial cds; vif protein (vif) and vpr protein (vpr) genes, complete cds; nonfunctional tat protein (tat) and nonfunctional rev protein (rev) genes, comp